AUGAAGUCCUUGAGUGUUUCACUAGUGGUCCUGUGGCUUCAGCUAUACUGGGUGAACAGUCAGCAGGAGGUGCAGCAGAGCCCAGAGUACCUCAUUGUUCCCCAGGGAGGCAUGACCUCUCUCAACUGUACUUUCAGUGAUCCUAGUUCUCAGUAUUUCUGGUGGUACAGACAGCAUUCUGGGGAAGGCCCCAAGGCACUGAUGUCCAUCUUCUCCAAUGGUGACAAGAAAGAAGGGAGAUUCACAGCUUACCUUAGUAGAGCCAGCCUGCAUACUUCCCUGCACAUCAGAGACUCCCAGCCCAGUGACUCUGCUCUCUACUUCUGUGCAAUUGAUAAGGGACCUGUGAAGCCUGACAUGUGUCUUACAAUUGAUAUUGAAGACAGGAGAUUUCUGACUGUGGGAAUCAUGCAAUAG